rnacentral:rRNA from 1 species
UGGAUAGUAAUACUAAUGAAAUUUAACGGAUUUGGCGGCAAGAUAGCCACUUAGAGGAACCUGCCCUAUAAACGAUGAGCCACGAUUAACCUUACUUUUACUAGAAUUCAGUUUGUAUACCGCUGUUGUCAGUUAGUUUCUUUAGAAAACUUUCGUACAUGAUAAAUUCAAGGACUUCAAGUAAAGGUGCAGCUUAUGUAAAAGAUAGAGGUGGGUUACAAUUAAAAGAGUAAUAUGGAUAAAGUUAGGAAAAAACUUUUGAAGGUGGAUUUAAUAGUAAAGUUUAAUAAGACUUGAUUAGAGCUCUAUCUUGUGUACACACCGCCCGUCGCUCGCGGGA